rnacentral:rRNA from 1 species
AUGAUGCCCUAUGCUUCCAUGGUAGUAGGAUUAAUUUGGAAUAUUAGAGGCCUCAAUAAGCCUGACAAGUGUAAGCUAGUGCAUGAACUCAUUAGAGAUACAUGCCCUGACAUUAUUGUUUUUUCUGAAACUAAAAAAGAUAGUUUUACCUCUUCUCAACUAUCCUCUUUGGAUGGGGGAGGCUCCUUCUCCUGGGAGUGGCUUCCUGCAGUUGGGACAGCUGGGGGUAUACUAGUGGGGGUGAGAUAUGAGAAAUUUGACAUUAUUUCCAGUAAUAUGUUCAACUUCUCUGUCUCUUGCAUCCUGCUUAGUAAGGUAGACAAACAUUUGUGGAGAUUCAUCUCUGUUUACGGCUCAGCUUACGAAGAGCAUAAACUUGAAUUUGUUAAUGAACUGCACAAUGUUAUGAACUGCUGGUCCGGUCCAACUUUAAUUGGAGGGGACUUUAAUUUAGUUAGAUCCUCUGAGGAUAAAAGUAAUGGUAUGGUUGACCUGCACUGGGUGGAUUUGUUCAAUGACUGGAUCAACUGUAUGAGGUUGGUUGAAUUGGUGAACUCUGGUAGAAAGUUCACCUGGGCCAAUAAUCAGGAUAAUCUGAUCAUGACUAACAUAGAUAGGGUCUUUGUGUCCACCUGCUGGGAGCAGAUAUAUCCUGCAGUCAUGCUUAAAGCCCUUCCCAGGGUUGGUAGCGAACAAACUCCCUUGGUUUUGACACUGGUGCUAUUAAGCCGCCCGGGGAUAAAAUCUUUAGAUUAG